rnacentral:rRNA from 1 species
UGGGGAAUUUUGGACAAUGGGCGAAAGCCUGAUCCAGCAAUGCCGCGUGUGUGAAGAAGGCCUUCGGGUUGUAAAGCACUUUUGUCCGGAAAGAAAUCCUUGGCUCUAAUACAGUCGGGGGAUGACGGUACCGGAAGAAUAAGCACCGGCUAACUACGUGCCAGCAGCCGCGGUAAUACGUAGGGUGCAAGCGUUAAUCGGAAUUACUGGGCGUAAAGCGUGCGCAGGCGGUUUGCUAAGACCGAUGUGAAAUCCCCGGGCUCAACCUGGGAACUGCAUUGGUGACUGGCAGGCUAGAGUAUGGCAGAGGGGGGUAGAAUUCCACGUGUAGCAGUGAAAUGCGUAGAGAUGUGGAGGAAUACCGAUGGCGAAGGCAGCCCCCUGGGCCAAUACUGACGCUCAUGCACGAAAGCGUGGGGAGCAAACAGGAUUAGAUACCCUGGUAGUCCACGCCCUAAACGAUGUCAACUGUUGUUGGGGAAUGCUUCCUUACGUAACGUAGCUAACGCGUGAAGUUGACCGCCUGGGGAGUACGGCGCAAGGUGUAAAACUCAAAUGAAUUGACGGGGUCAUAGCUGUUUCCU